rnacentral:rRNA from 1 species
AACGAACGCUGGCGGCAUGCCUAACACAUGCAAGUCGAACGAGACCUUCGGGUCUAGUUGCGCACGGCGGCGUACCGCCUGGUAACCUACCCUUAGGUUCCGAACAACUCCCCUAAAGGUGUCCUCAUACCGGUUAAUCUCAUACCACCAAAGAUUUAUCGCGUUUGGAUGGGCCCGCGUUGGAUUAGCGGGUUGGUAGGGUAAAAGCCUGCCAAGGCGACGUUCCAUAGCUGGUCGGGGACGAGGAUAAGCCAGACCGGGACUGAGGCACGGCCCAGACUCCUACGGAGGGGAGCAGUGGGGAAUAUUGGGGAAUGGGGGAAGGUCUGACCAAGCAGUGUCGGGUAAGUGAUGAAGGGCUUAGGGUUGUAAAGCUCUUUUAGCCGGGAUGAUAAUGACAGUACCGGGUGAAUAAGCUCCGGCUAACUACGUG